ensembl:miRNA
UGUAUUCUCAGCUUUGAGAACUGAAUUCCACAGGUUGUAAUUGAGCUGUGUCAGACCUAUGGGGCUCAGUUCUGCAGCUUGGAUAUCUCUGUCUUC